AUGGCUGAGCAAGGAGGAGAAGAAUACAAGGUGCUCAUCGAUCAGACCGGCAAAGACGCCGGUGAACCGCACCAAGACGCCGACGAUGACGACGCCGACGACACCUCGAGCUUCAUCCUGGUCAUGAACCUCGUCCUGAGCGGCACGGCCCGGCUCAACGUGCUCCUCCCGACGGCCACCAUCCUGACCUUCGCCAUCUUCGCGCCGCUGGUCACCGACGACGGCAAGUGCGCGCGCGUCAACCGCGUGCUCACCGGCGCGUUCGUGCUGCUCUGCGCCGCCUCCUGCGUCUUCUUCACGCUCACCGACAGCUUCCGCUCCGCCACGGGCCGGCUCCGCUACGGCGUGGCCACCCCGGCGGGCAUCGCGACGUUCUGCGCCGGCGGGGGGAGCCGGAGGAAGGCGCCGAGGGAGCCGGAGAGGUACAGGCUGCGGUGGUCGGACCUGUUCCACACCGCGCUGUCCCUGGUGGCCUUCGUGACCUUCGCCGCCUCCCACCACGACAUCGUCCGGUGCUACUACCCCGGCGCGCCCAGGAAGGUGGUGAACACCGUGCCCCUCGUCGUCGGCUUCGUCGUCAGCCUCCUCUUCGUCAUGUUCCCUUCCAAGAGGAGGGGGAUCGGCUACCCGUUCCUGCUCCGGACCGACCUCGUGUACCUACGGCGCUGA
rnacentral:rRNA from 1 species